rnacentral:rRNA from 1 species
ANNCCCGCGCCUCACCUGGGAAGUGCACUCUGAAACUGUUGAGAGCUAGAGUAGCUGAGAGGGAAGUAGAAUUUCCGUGGUAGCGGGUGAAAUGCGGUAGAGAAUAGAGAGAAUCCCGAGGGGAAGGCAGCUUCUUGGCAUCAUACUGACCAUGAAGCUGGAAAGCGUGGGGGAGCAAACAAGAUUAGAUACCCUGGUAGUUCACGCCGUAAACGAUGUAUACUAGUGUGUGAGUCCCUUUAGGACUUAGUGACGCAGAUAUCGCAAUAAGUAGACUGCGCGGGGAGUACGGCCGCAAGGUUAAAACUCAAAUGAAUUGACGGGGGCCCGCACAAGCGGUGGAGCAUGUGGUUUAAUUUGAUGCAACGCGAAGAACCUUACCUGGUCUUGACAUAUCCUGAAUCAAGCAGAGAUGCGGGAGUUCCUUUUGGAAUUAGAAUACACAUGUUGCAUGGCUGUGUUCAGCUCGUGUCGUGAGAUGUUGGGUUAAGUCCCGCAACGAGCGCAACCCUUGUCCUUAGUUACCAGCGGGUUAAGCCGGGAACUCUAAGGAUACUGCCAGUGACAACUGGAGGAAGGCGGGGACGACGUCAAGUCAUCAUCCCCCUUACGACCAGGGCUACACACGUGUUCCAAUGGUAGGUACAGAGGGCAGAUGCACAGGGAGGUGAUGCGAAUCUCAAAAAGCCUUUUCUAGUCCGGAUUGGAGUUUGCAAUUGGACUCCAGGAAGUGGGAAUCGUUGGUAAUCGGGGAUCACAAUGCCGCGGGGAAUAGGUUCCCGGCCUUGGUACCCCCCCCCCGUCACGCCCAGGGUUUGCUUUACCUUAGAUCGUUAGUCAACCAGUCGUAGCAAGGUAACCACUAGAGUU